CUCUUUUCAUCUUCACUUAACCCUAGUUUUCACUUUUAACUAAUUCCCAACCCCACCGUCUCCGCCCGAAAAUUCCCUCAGCUCCCAUGAUCGCCCGCCCCAAUCUCACGAUACCACCGUCUGGAUCCCACUCCGCUCGUCAAAGUCUCCCCGCCGUCGUACUGUUUCUCCCCGUCAUCGUCGACGUAUCGAGAUCCCCGACCUCGCCGCGUCCUAUACCAGCGCCGACCGGUACUUGCAUCUCCGCCUUCGCGACCGGCCCACAGUCCUCGCCUCCUUCGAUCGCCGCUUCCAGCGUCGUGUUCGAAUUCCUGGUGUAACCUAUUGCCGGAUCCACGACGGAGCUCCUCUACGAGCUGCGGAGAGGCGAUGUUGUCGAAUUGAGCCUGGCGGUUGGUGGCGGUUUCAAUUUUAGAGGAAAUUGAGAUUUCAAAGGAAAUUUCAGGAUCUGAAAAUUCUGAAGAAUCGGUUGUAUUCAGCAGCUGAAGUGAGAAAUGAUUAUCGCAAAGCUAUAGCAUAAAUACAAGAAUUUCAUCGUGCAUAGUAUGGAACCAGGAGCUCCGUCUCCUGUACCUUGAAUAUUUGGCUGCCGUUUCUUCUCCAAUAUGUGGCUCCACCACCGAUUUAAUGGUACAUCUCAUGUUAGAGGCAUAAUGUACCCAAGUUAUAAUGAUUGUGUGAUAAGAGUUUCCAGCAUAUAGUGUAGCUUUAUGAACACAUCAUGCACUUAUUGAUAUAUUUCCAUUGUUUCUAACUUUUUCUUUAGAAGGACUUUUUUUUUACAUUAUUGACAAGUUCAAGUUGUUCAAGCGGCGCCAUGUUUCUGCAUAUACUUGUUUUUGUAUUCAGAUCCCUAAAUGCAGAUAUUUGGUUCAGCUUGUAUGGGCCAUUAGGCUAUUAAAUCCACAUAUUCCUGGAAAAAAAAUUCUAAGGGAAGAACACAAAAACUGUAGCUAAGAAGGGAGACCUUGGAUGCAUAAAAAAUCUAAAAUGAAGAAGGAAUAUCCAACUGUCUUGUAUGCAUCAUGAACAAUUUGUACGUAAUGAAGGUUGAUUUGUUUGUCAUGAAUUUGGCAAAUCCAGAGAGAUUUAGAUUUGCAAGGGAAACAUCAUUUGAGUAAAGGCACUUGAGCUACUGGACCAAAAAGCCACUUUUGUGGAAGGCUCUGGACAUGUGUGCCCCCCUCUCAUGGUACGGAAUGUAAUUUCUCGAACUAAAUAUUAGUUACAAUGCCUAUAUGAAAAUGAUAGUAAAAUAGAUGGAGACUUAGCUUGUGAGAUUUCAGCUUGUUUUAUUGGAUGUGGUAUUAGGAUUUCAGCUUGCAGUUCUAUGUUUUUCAGUCCAUUCAGUUAUAUAAUUGUCCACGGUCGAAGAUGUCUUUGAAAACAAUGUCUGUAUUUGGAUUUGUUUAUUAUGAGUUCAAUCUAUAUGAAUGUUGCAUUGUCGUGUGUUA